GAUGAAGAACGCAGCGAAAUGCGAUAAGUAAUGUGAAUUGCAGAAUUCAGUGAAUCAUCGAAUCUUUGAACGCACAUUGCGCCCGUCAGUAUUCUGGCGGGCAUGCCUGUUCGAGCGUCAUUACGCCCCUCAAGUCCCCUGUGGACUUGGUGUUGGGGAUCGGCGAGGCUGGUUUUCCAGCACAGCCGUCCCUUAAAUUAAUUGGCGGUCUCGCCGUGGCCCUCCUCUGCGCAGUAGUAAAACACUCGCAACAGGAGCCCGGCGCGGUCCACUGCCGUAAACCCCCCCAACUUUUUAUAGUUGACCUCGAAUCAGGUAGGACUACCCGCUGAACUUAAGCAUAUCAAUAAGCGGAGGA
rnacentral:misc_RNA from 1 species